rnacentral:rRNA from 1 species
AUUGAACGCUGGCGGAAUGCUUUACACAUGCAAGUCGAACGGUAACAGGUCUUCGGAUGCUGACGAGUGGCGAACGGGUGAGUAAUAUAUCGGAACGUGCCCAGUCGUGGGGGAUAACGUAGCGAAAGUUACGCUAAUACCGCAUACGAUCUACGGAUGAAAGCGGGGGAUCGCAAGACCUCGCGCGAUUGGAGCGGCCGAUAACAGAUUAGGUAGUUGGUGGGGUAAAGGCUCACCAAGCCAACGAUCUGUAGGUGGUCUGAGAGGACGACCAGCCACACUGGAACUGAGACACCGUCCAGACUCCUACGGGAGGCAGCAGUGGGGAAUUUUGGACAAUGGACGCAAGUCUGAUCCAGCCAUUCCGCGUGCAGGAUGAAGGCCCUCGGGUUGUAAACUGCUUUUGUACGGAACGAAAAGGUCUCUAUUAAUACUGGGGGCUCAUGACGGUACCGUAAGAAUAAGCACCGGCUAACUACGUGCCAGCCGCCGCCGUAAUAC